GACGAACGCUGGCGGCGUGCUUAACACAUGCAAGUCGAACGAUGAAGCGGGUGCUUGCACUCGUGGAUUAGUGGCGAACGGGCGAGUAACACGUGAGUAACCUGUCCUUUUCUUUGGGAUAACGGCUGGAAACGGCUGCUAAUACUGGAUAUUCAGGCUGCAUCGCAUGGUGUGGUUUGGAAAGGUUUUUUCUGGGAUUGGGUGGGCUCGCGGCCUAUCAGCUUGUUGGUGGGGUGAUGGCUUACCAAGGCUUUGACGGGUAGCCGGCCUGAGAGGGUGGUCGGUCGCUCUGGGACUGAGAUACGGCCCAGACUCCUACGGGAGGCAGCAGUGGGGAAUAUUGCACAAUGGACGAAAGUUUGAUGCAGCGACGCCGCGUGGAGGGUGUAGGCCUUCGGGUUGUGAACUCCUUUUUCUCGCGAAAAAGGCACAGUUUUGGCUGUGUUGAUGGUAGUGGGGGAAGAAGCGCCGGCUAACUACGUG
rnacentral:rRNA from 1 species